UUUUUUUCAGUAAGCUCUCCGCCCAACGUGGGGCUCGAACUCACGACCCCGAGACCGAGAGUCCCACGCUCCACCGACUGUGCCGGCAAGGCAUCCCCAGAAUCCUCUUUAAAGCGCAAGCGACCUAACCCUUAUCCCCCCACCCCACCCCCUGCCCCGGCCCUGUGGAGCGGACUUGCUCUGCGAGUAUCCAGGCCCGGCUGGGGAGGAGGGGGGCGGCUGGAGGGACAGUGCUCCCGGCCCCUCGGACGCCAGCAGCGGCGGGCGGGGACACACGCAGCCGCGGCCCCGCGCACCGUCACCUCCGCCCUCCCCCUCCGACCGGCGCCCGCACCCCCGCCGCGGCUCGCGGACCGAAGGGUCCCAACCUCGCUCAACACACUGCCCCCUUCCCACCCGGGGCAGGGGGCCCUACUCGGCCUCUGCCACGAGUCUCUAGGGUCUUUCCACACCUUCCUCCCUCUCGCCGAGGGUCUCAUCAGCAGACCUUUCUUAAAUUUUGUUCGUCUCUCUCUGCCUUCAGAUCUUCUCAGACCUAGCCUUCAGCCUGAGGGGUCUCCCCUCGGUCCUCUCCCUCGGUCUGCCGAAUCCCUGCACCCUCCCCCCCGAGGGGUUCCCCCCCUACCCCGGGCGCCCCCCCACCUCCACUCACCUCGCGCCCGCCAGCUCUCCCGAGCUCGCUGGCGCCGGGCGCGGUCGCGGGACGCGCACGCCGGGCGGCGGCGGGGGGGCCGCGCGCGCAGCGUACGCGGUGACGUCAGUGCGCUGGCGGCGGCGGCGGCGGCGGCGGCGGCAGGGCUGUUUGUUCUGCUCUCCCGCAGCCGAGGAGCCGAAGCGGUGGCUGCGGCGGCAGCGGCUGCCGGCAGUGCCCGCAGGCGAGCGGGGCCUGUGAGCGCGGCGGAGCGGCGGGCGCGGCGGGCGGGCCCCGGCGCCGCGCAGGCAGCCCGAAGAAGAGGGGGCGGCGGCAGCGGGCGGCCGGCGGGGGCGGCGUGCGGCCUAGCGUCUCAGGUGAGGACCGGUGCCCUUCGGGGCGGCGGGCGGCGCGGGGCGGCCGGCGGGGACCCGCGGCGCGGCCCGCGUAACCUGCAUUGCGUAAUGGGGCCGGUGCGCCAGCACCUACGCCAUCGGCGCGGCGCGGGGGCGGGGAGGCCGGGGCGACGCGGGCUCGGGCCUGCGGGCCUCCCGCGUCCGCGCGCCGUGCCGCUUGCGCCCGGCCGGGGCCGCCUGCGCCGUUGGCGUCGGAGUGGCCGGUCGCUCGCGGGUGCUCGGUCGUUGGCGCCGCCGCCCCCCGGCUUGGGCCGGCCGGCGGGGCGGGGG
rnacentral:lncRNA from 1 species